rnacentral:rRNA from 1 species
AUGAACGCUGGCGGCAUGCCUUACACAUGCAAGUCGAACGGCAGCACGGGGGCAACCCUGGUGGCGAGUGGCGAACGGGUGAGUAAUACAUCGGAACGUGUCCUGUAGUGGGGGAUAGCCCGGCGAAAGCCGGAUUAAUACCGCAUACGAUCUACGGAAGAAAGCGGGGGAUCGCAAGACCUCGCGCUAUAGGGGCGGCCGAUGGCAGAUUAGCUAGUUGGUGGGGUAAAGGCCUACCAAGGCGACGAUCUGUAGCUGGUCUGAGAGGACGACCAGCCACACUGGGACUGAGACACGGCCCAGACUCCUACGGGAGGCAGCAGUGGGGAAUUUUGGAC